ACGGCCAUAUCAUGCUGAACAAACCGAUUCUCGUCUGAUCACCGCAGUUAAGCAGCUUUGGGCAUGAUUAGUACUUGGAUGGGUGACCGCUUGGGAACACCAUGUGCUGU
rnacentral:rRNA from 1 species